rnacentral:lncRNA from 1 species
UUUACCCGGCCCAAAAUAAUAAAAAGUCUAUUAUUUUACAUGUCCGGAACAAAAAAAAAAGAGAGCCCAGAAUACAUGGCCCAAUUUAAAACAAUGGGGGCCCAAAUUUCAAUGGCCCAAAACGGAUGAAACCCUAGGGUUUUUGAUCUUCAACAGCGCCGCAACCAAGCCAAGAAGAAUCCUCCGGAUUUUCCCCAAUCUUCACCUGCAAAACAAGGAAAGAAAUCAAACAAUAUAUGGAAAAAUCAUAGGUUUGAGAAUCAAAGAUAUGACCAGAUUUAUUCCUUCUUUGCUUUAUUUUCAUUCGACUAUAAAAGGAGAUUAAAUACAUUGUAAAAGGGAUCCCGAACUCGAGAAAUCAAUAAAAACAGGACACUAUUUCACAGAAACCGAUUGAAACGCAAAGGUUGAUAUAUUUUCUUUUCUUGUUUUUUUGUUAUUUGUUUUUUUAUAUACUGAAUAAAUUAAAAUAAAGGAAAUAAAUAACCUUUCUUUUUGGAAGCACCGUACGACAGCUGAGGGAGCCACCCCCGAGGAUUGGUGGCCGGAAACCGAAAGGUUUCGUGUUGUUUUGAACCUCUUCGCUAGCAUUUUGAAGGAUUUAAGCCCAGAUUUGGGCAUAAGGGGGUCGAGAAGGCUAAAAGGGGAAUUUUCCCCUUUUUCGGCCACCACAGACGGUGGUACCGGCACCGAAGAAUGGUGGCCGGUACGGUGGCCGAUGAUCGGCCGUUAACCGGACUCAGACCGGUGCCCGGAGAAGAA